UACGUAGGGGGGCAAGCGUUGUCCGGAUUUAUUGGGCGUAAAGAGCGUGUAGGCGGCUUCACAGGUCCGCUGUGAAAACUCGAGGCUCAACCUCGAGAUGUCGGUGGAAACCGUGUGGCUAGAGUCCGGAAGAGGAGAGUGGAAUUCCCGGUGUAGCGGUGAAAUGCGCAGAUAUCGGGAAGAACACCCGUGGCGAAGGCGGCUCUCUGGGACGGUACUGACGCUGAGACGCGAAAGCGUGGGGAGCGAACAGG
rnacentral:rRNA from 1 species